rnacentral:tRNA from 1 species
GGGGCUAUAGCUCAGUUGGGAGAGCGGAUCGUUCGCAAUGAUCAGGCCAGGGGUUCGAGUCCCCUUAGCUCCACCA